rfam:Danio rerio chromosome 4, GRCz11 reference primary assembly.
GGCUCUGUGGCGCAAUGGAUAGCGCAUUGGACUUCUAGGCUGUGAGCUGAGCCAUUCAAAGGUUGUGGGUUUGAGUCCCACCAGAGUCG